AUUGAACGCUGGCGGCAGGCCUAACACAUGCAAGUCGAGCGAGCGGCGGACGGGUGCGUAAUGUCUGAGAGACUGCCUGAUGGAGGGGGAGAACUACAGGAAACGGUAGCUAAUACAGCAUACAAUCAGGGGUGGGACGAUGGGAUGAGAUAGUAGGUGGGGGAAAGGCUCACCUAGGCGACGAUCCCUAGCUGGUCUGAGAGGAUGACCAGCCACACUGGAACUGAGACACGGUCCUGACUCCUACGGGAGGCAGCAGUGGGGAAUUUUGCACAAUGGGGGCAACCCUUAUCCAGCCAUGCCGCGUGUGUGAAGAAGGCCUUCGGGUUGUAAAGCACUUUUAGCGGAGAGGCGGUAUCCGCAGAAGAAGCACCGGCUAACUCCGUGCCAGCAGCCGCGGUAAUUC
rnacentral:rRNA from 1 species